rnacentral:rRNA from 1 species
UGAAGUGAAGAAGAGCACAGGGUGGAUGCCUUGGCGCCAGGUGCCGAUGAAGGACGCGGGACACUGCGAAAAGCCUCGGGGAGCCGUGCACAGGCUGCGAUCCGGGGAUGUCCGAAUGGGGAAACCCGCGGCCGCCGAACAAGCGGCCGCAUCCGGCCGUGAACACAUAGCGGUGCGGAGGGGCACCCGGGGAACUGAAACAUCUCAGUACCCGGAGGAAAAGAAAGAAUUCCCCCAGUAGUGGCGAGCGAACGGGGAAGAGCCCAAACCAGGCCCUGCGGGGUCUGGGGUUGAAGGGCCUGCCGACAAAGCCUGAAACGGAGCUAGCGGAAGGGCGUGGAAACGCCUGCCAGAGAGGGUGACAGCCCCGUACGCGAAAGUGAAGGGAAGGCGAGGCAGGUACCUGAGUACUGCCGGGCACGCUAAUCCGGCAGGAAGCUGGGGAGUCCACUCUCCAAGGCUAAAUACACCUGGCGACCGAUAGUGCACCAGUACCGUGAGGGAAAGGUGAAAAGUACCCCGGUGAGGGGAGUGAAAGAGAUCCUGAAACCCUGUGCUUACAAGCAGUUGGAGGGCGGUGCCCGGGCAACCGGGCCGCCUGACAGCGUGCCUCUUGGAGAAUGAGCCUGCGAGUUAAUCUGUGUGGCGAGGUUAAGCCAGCGACAGGCGGAGCCGGAGCGAAAGCGAGUCUGAACAGGGCGAGAAGUGGCACAGAUUAGACCCGAAACCGGGUGAGCUACCCAUGGCCAGGGUGAAGCGAGGGUAACAGCUCGUGGAGGCCCGCACCUACUAACGUUGCAAAGUUAGGGGAUGAGCUGUGGGUAGGGGUGAUAUGCCAAACGAACCCGGAGAUAGCUGGUUCUCCCCGAAAUAGCUUUAGGGCUAGCGCGGCGGGGAGUGUUCCGGAGGUAGAGCACUGAAUGGGCAAGGGGGCGUUACGCUUACCGACCCCAAUCAAACUCCGAAUGCCGGGACAUAUCUGCCGCAGUCGGACUGCGGGUGAUGAGAUUCGUGGUCGAGAGGGAAACAACCCAGAUCAUCGGCUAAGGUCCCCAAGUGACCGCUCAGUGGGAAACGAGGUGGGGUUACUGGAACAACCAGGAGGUUGGCUUAGAAGCAGCCACCCUUUAAAGAGUGCGUAAUAGCUCACUGGUCUAGUGAUCCUGCGCGGAAAAUUCAACGGGGCUAAGCGGUCCACCGAAGCCAUGGGCUCUUUGUAAAAAGAGCGGUAGGGGAGCGUUCUGCUCAGCGGAGAAGGUCGACCGGAAGGACGGCUGGAGCGGGCAGAAGUGAGAAUGCAGGCAUGAGUAGCGUAAAACACGUGAGAACCGUGUUCACCGUACAUCUAAGGGUUCCGACGCCAGGUCAAUCCGCGUCGGGUUAGUCGGGGCCUAAGCCGAGGCCGCAAGGCGUAGGCGAUGGACAGCCGGUCAACAUUCCGGCACCGCGGUUGGGGAGCGAGGCGGGGACGCAGUGAGGUAGGCCAGCCUGCGACUGGUUGUGCAGGUGCCUGCGCUGUCAGACGAAGAGGCCCACUGGCAAAUCCGUGGGCUGAGUUGAGAGCGCGGGGCGAGCCGUCAAGGCAUAAGUGAGCUGAGCCUGGCUGCCGAGAAAAGCCGCUAAGUGAUGAACCGACCGCGCCCGUACCGCAAACCGACACUGGUGGAUGGGUAGAGUAUACCAAGGUGAACGGGAGAACCUUCGUUAAGGAAUUAGGCAAAUUAGCCCCGUAACUUCGGGAGAAGGGGUGCCCCUGGGGGUGGGUCCGAAAGGGCGUAGCGUCUGGGGGUCGCAGUGAAAGGGUUCUAGUGACUGGUUACCAAAACCACAGGUCUCUGCCAAGUCGAAAGACGACGUAUAGGGGCUGACGCCUGCCCAGUGCCGGAAGGUUAAGGGGAGAGGUUAGCGUGAGCGAAGCUUUGAACCGAAGCCCCGGUGAACGGCGGCCGUAACUAUAACGGUCCUAAGGUAGCGAAAUUCCUUGUCGGGUAAGUUCCGACCCGCACGAACGGCGUAACAACUAGAACACUGUCUCAACGAAGGACCCGGUGAAAUUGAAAUGGCUGUGAAGAUGCGGCCUACCCGCAGCAGGACAAAAAGACCCCGUGGAGCUUUACUGCA